rnacentral:lncRNA from 1 species
CUGAUGACUGUUCUUUGUUUUGCGCAUCCCCAACUUCAGUGGAGCUAUGUGAAAAUCUUCAAGUAGAGUUGCAUAACAUUACCAAUUGGGUGAGAGCUAACAAAUUAGCACUAAACAUUGUCAAAACUAAAUCUAUUAUAUUUGGUAGUAAAAAUCUUCUCGCCAAUGCUCACUGUAAAAACGAAAACUUAAAAUUGUUGGUCUCAUUAUGAUUUCUGAGUAAAAUGAAUAUAAAACAUUAAGUAUUCAUGUCAACUGUGCAAUACAAUUUAGUCCAACCAACAAUGUUGAGUUUUGGGUCAAGAGUUGGCCUCAGUGUAGUAUCUUUGUUAGCAAGACACACAGGUUUAGGUCAGACUCUGUCUGAGGCUGGGCCAACUACGACUCCUACCCCCCGGGGAGUCUGGGUAUUCGUGAUGCCGGUUGGGAAAAAGGGGUUUAUUGCCUUUUGUCAAUUUGUUUCAGAUAGGUUAAGUGGGGUUAACGGGUUUGGAGUCUUUGUUUGUGUGUUGUUUAUUGUGUGUAGUGUUGCUGCCACCGUUACCGAGACUUGCAUGUCCGUUGGUUGGGUGUGCGGUGCGCUGUGUGUUGUUGGUGAGUGUUAAAUAAGGGCAGCUCUCGGGAUCGUGCGGUGUAUGAGGGACGAGAGUUGCGUCACCGUUUAACCUGGGCUCCCGUAUCGUGCAGAACAAGUUUGACCAUAAUGUCGAACUUGUUCUGCACUUUGGUUUGCUGCAUUUAGACAGCGAUUCGCUGCUGCUGAACUAGCUACAUGUUGCUUGUUCUAUUGAUGUCUGGCAUUCAGAAAUGUAAAAUGGAAGUUUCCAAUUAUUAAUUUUAAUAAAGUGAACUUAAAACUAGUUUUGCAUUCUUUGAAAUGUUUUUUUUUUAAUAAUAUUAACCUUGAUUUGAAAUAUUAAGUUAACAACCCUGACUUACUUUUUUGAGUUUUGUAAAAUAUAAAAUCUUAGUUGGUAUAACUAACUUUCAAGUUUGUCUAAAGAAGAAAAAUGACAUUUUGUUGGGCUAGAAACUCAAAAAUGUAUUGCAGUAAGUUGCCUUGCAAUUUUAAGUUUUCUCAACUUUUUAUUUUUUACAGUCUACUGCACUUAAUUUAUAUAUAGAUGG